GAUGAACGCUGGCGGCGUGCCUAAUACAUGCAAGUCGAGCGAACAGAUGAGGAGCUUGCUCCUCUGACGUUAGCGGCGGACGGGUGAGUAACACGUGGAUAACCUACCUAUAAGACUGGGAUAACUUCGGGAAACCGGAGCUAAUACCGGAUAAUAUAUUGAACCGCAUGGUUCAAUAGUUAAAGACGGUUUUGCUGUCACUUAUAGAUGGAUCCGCGCCGCAUUAGCUAGUUGGUAAGGUAACGGCUUACCAAGGCAACGAUGCGUAGCCGACCUGAGAGGAUGAUCGGCCACACUGGAACUGAGACACGGUCCAGACUCCUACGGGAGGCAGCAGUAGGGAAUCUUCCGCAAUGGGCGAAAGCCUGACGGAGCAACGCCGCGUGAGUGAUGAAGGUCUUCGGAUCGUAAAACUCUGUUAUUAGGGAAGAACAAAUGUGUAAGUAACUAUGCACGUCUUGACGGUGCCUAAUCAGAAAGCCACGGCUAACUACGUG
rnacentral:rRNA from 1 species